CGUUCGCUCCCCUAGCUUUCGCGCCUCAGCGUCAGUGUCGGCCCAGCAACCCGCCUUCGCCGCAGGUGUUCCUCUCGAUAUCUACGCAUUUCACCGCUACACCGAGAAUUCCAGUUGCCCCUUCCGCACUCUAGCCCGACAGUAUCACUUGACCUAUCCGAGUUAAGCCCGGAGAUUUCACAAGUGACUUGUCGUGGCCGCCUACGCGCCCUUUACGCCCAGUAAAUCCGAACAACGCUUGCUCCCCCCGUAUUACCGCGGCUGCUGGCACGGAGUUAGCCGGAGCUUACAAAUGGUACCGUCAUCGUUUGAGGUAUUGGCUCAAACUUAUUCUUCCCAUUCUUGCGAAGUUUACAUCCCGAAGGAUUUCAUCCUUCACGCGGCGUUGCUGGGUCAGGCUUGCGCCCAUUGCCCAAAAUUCCCGACUGCUGCCUCCCGUAGGAGUCUGACCCGUUGUUCAGUGUCAGUGUGACCGACCGCCCUCUCAGGCCGGUUACGGAUCGUCGCCUUGGUGAGCCAUUACCUCACCAACUAGCUAAUCCGCCGUGGGCUUUUCUUCAG
rnacentral:rRNA from 1 species